rnacentral:piRNA from 1 species
AUUAGCACAUUGUGUACACUGUUAA